AAAAAAGGUGAUGGUAGAGUGUUGGUUGCAUGAGUUUUAGUGAGAGAAAAAAAUUUCAGCAAGUUCCCUACAGACGAUGCCUAUGAAGGUUCUAGAUUUUUGCCUUCACACGAAUUUCUAGUUUGUAAAGAACUUGUAAUCGAUCAGGUAGCCUCGAAUCCAACAGGUUGCAUACUUAAAAAAGGCAUUAUGAUGCUCAAGUUAGUGUUUAAUUUUGAUUGAAGAAAGAAGAAAGCAGAAAAAAGUAGGUUUUCUCUCUCUUUAGAAUGAACAAUGCUCUUCUAAGGCC
rnacentral:lncRNA from 1 species